rnacentral:snRNA from 1 species
AUACUUGGCUGGCAGGGGAGAUAUCAUGAUUACAAAGGUGGUUUUCCCAGGAUGAGGCUUAUCAGUUGCACUCUGGAUGUGCUGACCCUCGCAAGUUCCCCAAAUGUGAGAAACUUGUCUGCGUAGUUUGUGGUAGUGGGGGACUAUGUUUUCACUUUUGUCUG